CGUCUGUGGUGACCGAGGACGGGCUGGCGCUGGGAGCCGGAAUCAGCCGCUCAAAGCCCGAUUCGGGUCACUGGAAUUCUUCACAUGCAGUGCUUAAAGCAAUCCUUCAGGACUAAAGGUAGAAGGUGGCUGUGAGUGGAGUGACUCAGGUGGGACCAGCAUGGAUGUGCGGUGGAGUAGCCUGAAGCCAGGCUGCAGGAGGAAUUUGUCUCAAAGACUAAGUCUCACAGCAUCUCUUUGGAAAAGCUAAAAUCACAUGGAAUGAUUUGUGGCAAAUCCCCCCAGUCUGCAUGCUUGUAAUAGAGCAGAACGUGUCAGAUAAAUAGAAUGUAUAUAUUUUGGAGAAGAAUUUCAGCUUAAAUGUUGCCUAAACCUCAUUCAUAGGUAGAUUCUGGAAAGAAGAAUGGCUGAAACCUGGGCGCCAGAUCCUUGAAUGCCACAUUAUAACAUACACGUCACAGAAGUGGUUGGGUAGCAACGUGUGUAUGUACUUGGACACUGUAUUUUGAGUACACUGGGGACCAUGGAAGCAUCGGGACUCCCUCUUCCAGGGAGCUGGAAUCAUCGCAAGCACCUCAGCCAGUGGGUGUGAAACAACCCCCAGGAUUCUGGGUUUAUACUAAUGGAGGUAGAGCACAAACUCUCAAUUUUGGGAACAGCCCCUUCCAACUCUCACAACUUAGUAUUUCUCAUCAACCACAAGAUUGACUGAGCCUUCAUGGCCAAGAAACUUCUGCUGUGCAGAGAUGAAAGCUGUUACUCGUAACUUGACAGCAUGCUCCCGUUAAAUGAUAUCCUGUGCAGGGGACCAAGAAGUGGACAAGAGGAAGAGAGGAGCUUCAAGUGUGUUUUGGGAGACUCUCAGGAAGCACAGCACAUCUCUGGUGAUCUAAGCCUCGAUGCCCGUGAUGCUGUCUUGGACCUGAAACACCCUCGCUUUCUCCUCUCCCGGUGCCAAGGAUGCUGUGGCUCCUCCACGCUCGGGACAUGGUCCUGAAGCCGAGAUGCCCACACGCUUGCUUGAACCUCUGCGGGGCCUGCCUUCUCUGUCUCCAGCAAAGGAAAGGAGCUCCGAGAAGGUUCUGUGAAGUGCUUCUCUUCUCUGUUGCUGCCUUUAUAGAACUCAGGUCACAUCGGACUUAGAGAGACUCUUCAAGCCGGCAGGACAUGGUCAUCCCACAAACACCUUCAUUUGUGGUGUACUUGAACUUUCUGUGUGUAGGACAGUCAUCAACCUGUAGUUCAUCCCCACACUCUGGCCAGAAGCACAGAGGGGGUCAGGGCGUCGAUGGCGUCAUCCUGAAGGGAGUGCCCGGCUCUCAUCAGAAACAUGGCUGGUGAGCUCGGACCAUGCUGGGGAGCCUGGGGCUUCUUUGGCCUUCACGGCAGCAUUUAAAGAGCACGCUCGGCCACAAGUGCCAUCCUGGGUGGUUUUAUGAGUCUGGUGGUUUAUUUUGUUUGUUGUUUUGUUUGUUUUUGUAGAAAUGAAAAAAUAUUCACUCCAUGAAAAGAAAAAAGAAAACCCCUAUUUUUACAGCAUAUUGAUUCUCAACCAUAAUUUCCCUACAUGGAUAUAAACAUGCAGCUGGUACCUGGAGCCUCAGUUUGAGGAACGUGUAGGACACAAGGUCGUUCAGGAAGAAACUGUAGGAAGUCAGUCUGGCAAGAGGUGAAAACAUAGACCAGUGAGAGCCUGACCAGCAAUCUGGAAGUUUCUGAGACUCACUUAUACUCUAGAGAUGUCCCAUCCAGCCACUUCCAUUCGUUUUCCUGCUCUGAGUCUGUGAGGCCGAUCCAGUAGUUCUCUCUCCCUACCAUCUGCUUUUUGAUCCAUUGCUGAAAAAUAAAUCAGAAACGGUACAUUACUAUUUCUUGAACAGAUGUUUGGGGGACUUUCCCCUCAAUGUUUAGAAAAGAAGGACACUUUAUAAGAGGAUGUUUAUCAGACUUUAACAGAGAAGCAUAUGAGAUUUGAAUAAGAUAAAGCUGUCUCAAAAAACACAAUAAAAAGGAUGUUUGUCAGAAUUUGUGCACUGCUUUUGCUGUCCUCUCGUGACUGCACUUGUCUUGCACUGUUUUGGGGGCUUUGACGUUUUUUCCUCUUAUAAGCUUAUAAGCAA